rnacentral:rRNA from 1 species
UUGAACGCUGGCGGCAUGCCUUACACAUGCAAGUCGCACGGUAACGGGCCUUCGGGUGCCGACGAGUGGCGAACGGGUGAGUAAUACAUCGGAACGUGCCCGAUCGUGGGGGAUAACGAGGCGAAAGCUUUGCUAAUACCGCAUACGGUCUACGGAUGAAAGCAGGGGACCGCAAGGCCUUGCGCGGACGGAGCGGCCGAUGGCAGAUUAGGUAGUUGGUGGGAUAAAAGCUUACCAAGCCGACGAUCUGUAGCUGGUCUGAGAGGAUGAUCAGCCACACUGGGACUGAGACACGGCCCAGACUCCUACGGGAGGCAGCAGUGGGGAAUUUUGGACAAAGGGCGCAAGCCUGAUCCAGCCAUGCCGCGUGCAGGAUGAAGGCCUUCGGGUUGUAAACUGCUUUUGUACGGAACGAAAAGCCUUCUUUUAAUACAGGAGGGUCAUGACGGUACCGUAAGAAUAAGCACCGGCUAACUACGUG